rnacentral:rRNA from 1 species
UGAGUAACCUGCCCUAGGCUUUGGGAUAACCCUCGGAAACGGGGGCUAAUACCGGAUAUGACGCUUCACUGCAUGGUGGGGUGUGGAAAGUUUUUCGGCCUGGGAUGGGCUCGUGGCCUAUCAGCUUGUUGGUGGGGUGAUGGCCUACCAAGGCGAUGGCGGGUAGCCGGCCUGAGAGGGCGAUCGGCCACACUGGGACUGAGACACGGCCCAGACUCCUACGGGAGGCAG